rnacentral:misc_RNA from 1 species
CGGUAUUUAAGGACUCACUUAGACGUGUUUUCCAAUUGGGUGACUAUGACCUUGGACUCUCAUCAAAUGGUAUAUUUGAGAUAAACUGCUCAAAGGAUACCAAAGUUCAAGGCAUAAUUGGCCCUUGUGCGUCACUUGAAAAGAAAGGUCCUUUGUGCUCCGAUACUGUCAUUGGCCAGGGGAAUACCAGUGCUUGGAAGAUGUGUGGACUAGACAAAGCUACAACUUUAUGUAUAAUAUUUGAAAUUGUGAAGAAGGACAGUCCUGAUGCUUCUGUUCAGCCCUCAAGCAAUCAGUUUUACUUCCAAUUUUUGACCUAUUAUCAGCACAGCAGUGGUCAAAUGAGACUCCGCGUUACAACCCUUUCUAGAAGAUGGGUUGC